rnacentral:rRNA from 1 species
AUUGAACGCUAGCGGGAUGCCUUACACAUGCAAGUCGAACGGAGUGGCGAACGGGUGAGUAAUGUAUCGGAACGUGCCCAGUAGCGGGGGAUAACUACGCGAAAGGGUAGCUAAUACCGCAUACUAUGGAGGCGGCGGAUCUCGGAUUAGCUAGUGGGUGGGGUAACGGCUCACAAAGGCGACGACCCGUAGCUGGUUUGAGAGGACGACCAGCCACACUGGGACUGAGACACGGCCCAGACUCCUACGGGAGGCAGCAGUGGGGAAUUUUGGACAAUGGGGGAAACCCUGAUCCAGCCAUCCCGCGUGUGCGAUGAAGGCCUUCGGGUUGUAAAGCACUUUUGGCAGGAAAGCGGUACCUGCAGAAUAAGCACCGGCUAACUACGUGCCAGCCGCCGCGGUAAUUC